rnacentral:lncRNA from 1 species
UGUUCACACUGAGCUUAGAGCUCCUCUCUAAAACACCUCCCGGCCAUUCAGCCUCCCUUUCUUCAUUCUUUUCUCUUCCCAACAGGUCUGACCAGGUUUGAGGAUUAUCCGUGCCCCCUGGGAUACUGGUGCCCUGGUAAAGGGGACGCUUUCCUUUGUCCACCUGGUACUUCCAGGAGCCAGCCUGGUGCAAAAUCACUGGAAGAGUGUGAUCCCUGCUCACCUGGGUACUAUUGCCCAGACCCAGCACACACAGGGCUACCUAACAGCCAAGGAAUACCUUGUAAACCUGGCUUUGAAUGCCCAGCAGGUUCAGUGAAUCCAAAGCCUUGCAGACCUGGCUCAUACUGUGGUGCUCACACAGCUGUGCCUUCUGUGUGCCCUGCUGGAUAUUACUGUCCUGAAGGCUCAUCAACGUACAAUAGCCCUGAGCAGCUGUGUGUGUUUCCCUACUACUGUCCCUCAGGCAGUGCCCAUCCAC